rnacentral:rRNA from 1 species
CGUAGUUAGCCGAGCCUUAUUCCGGGGAUACUGUCCUUCCUCAUCUCCCCGAAAAGCGCUUUACAACCCGAAGGCCUUCAUCGCGCACGCGGCGUUGCUGCAUCAGGCUUUCGCCCAUUGUGCAAUAUUCCCU